rnacentral:sRNA from 1 species
UUUUUUGUGUUUUUUUU